rnacentral:rRNA from 1 species
CAGUCGCCGCGGGAAAACGAAGGGUGCAAGCGUUACUCGGAAUUACUGGGCGUAAAGCGUGCGUAGGUGGUGGUUUAAGUCCGUUGUGAAAGCCCUGGGCUCAACCUGGGAAUUGCAGUGGAUACUGGGUCACUAGAGUGUGGUAGAGGAUAGUGGAAUUUCCGGUGUAGCAGUGAAAUGCGUAGAGAUCGGAAGGAACAUCUGUGGCGAAGGCGACUAUCUGGGCCAACACUGACGCUCAUGCACGAAAGCGUGGGGAGCAAACAGGAUUAGAUACCCGCGUAGUCCCUGUCUCUUAACC